rnacentral:rRNA from 1 species
UACAGAGGGUGCAAGCGUUAAUCGGAUUUACUGGGCGUAAAGCGUGCGUAGGCGGUUCAGUGUGUCGGUUGUGAAAUCCCCGGGCUUAACCUGGGAACUGCAUCCGAAACUGCUGGGCUAGAGUGUGGUAGAGGGCGGUGGAAUUCCAGGUGUAGCGGUGAAAUGCGUAGAGAUCGGGAGGAACAUCAGUGGCGAAGGCGGCCAUCUGGGACAACACUGACGCUGAAGCACGAAAGCGUGGGGAGCAAACAGG